rnacentral:rRNA from 1 species
GACGAACGCUGGCGGCGUGCCUAACACAUGCAAGUCGAGCGGUCCGGCACUUAACCUUUUAGGUUGGGUGGGGGCUGGAUAGCGGCGAACGGGUGAGUAACGCGUGGGUGACCUGCCCGGGAGACCGGGAUAACAGCUCGAAAGGGCUGCUAAUACCGGAUGAUAUCUUUUGGCUGCGGCCAAGGGAUCAAAGCGUUUUAGCGCUCUCGGAUGGGCCCGCGUCCCAUUAGCUAGUUGGUGGGGUAAUGGCCUACCAAGGCGACGAUGGGUAGCCGGUCUGAGAGGAUGGUCGGCCACACUGGGACUGAGACACGGCCCAGACUCCUACGGGAGGCAGCAGUGGGGUAUUUUGCGCAAUGGGGGCAACCCUGACGCAGCGACGCCGCGUGGGUGAAGAAGGCCUUCGGGUUGUAAAGCCCGUGUUGGGGGGACGAGUAGUGACGGGUACCCCUCGACGGAAGCCCCGGCUAACUACGUG